ensembl:lncRNA
GCUGAAGGUGCCCGAGUGGUAUGCAGAUUCCUGUCACCGUGGCUGAGUGUCUUUGGGACACAUGCAGGAGGUGACAGUGCUAGAUCCCAGCAGCCAUGGAUUGUCUCCAGCCUUGGGAGGCGUGGGGCGCUCGAGCUGUGACUGGAGCUUAGAGAUCCAUUGCUGAGCAUGUGGGACGUACAGGAGCAGGGCUUGGGAUGAGGGUGCUAAAAUUAACUCCCGUGUUCUUCCCUAAAAUGGCUUUAUUUACUUCUGCAGGAGGAGAAUGUGAGGAACUCACCAGCCCUUGUUUACCGUCUGGUUUCAAAUCUGGGUGGCAGCAUGCUGAGAUAGUGUACGAAAUCAAAGGACAGCAGGCAGCCUCUGUGUCACUCUUGUUCUGACAAAGCAGCAAAGAUGCUCCACCAGAGAGCACAUAAAGGUGAGGAAGUGAAGGACUUGGAUUUUCAUGCUUUCCCCUGCUGUGAUGCUUUGUUCAGCAGAGGCCGGACUCAUAGAAGGGACUGGGGAUGUGAGAUAGGACCUCCAGCUGGUACGG